rnacentral:misc_RNA from 1 species
CGGUUGCGGCUCUGGUGUUCACUUUUGGUUCUUGUGUUGCCUACCCGUUUAGUGGUAUUCAUGUGCCUCUUAAGACUUGUUCCAUCCAGACCCCUUGUAGGGGCAACUGGGGGAUUCGAAAGUGAUACGUGUUUUGCGUGAGCUGUGCGUUGCAACGGCUCGCGUGCUCACGUGUCUAUUUUUCCCUUGGAUGCGGUGCAUGCGAUGAACGUGGGCUAACGAUUGUGCCCCGUUGAGUCCCUUUGAUUUAUCGGUUGCCUUGAAUGACACUUUGCAGUAGUGCUGGUCUUGCUUUACCAUUAUUGGGGGCAACACUUGCACUUCGAGCAGAGUCGUUGAUGG